AGCAUGGUACGAAUGCUGGUCAGGAUUACAUCUUUCUUAAUGGCUAUCAUCCUGGCUAUUUAUUUGCCAUGCCACCCU
rnacentral:Y_RNA from 25 species